rnacentral:rRNA from 1 species
ACGAAACUUCUUUAUCACCGAGUGCUUGCACUCACCGAUAAAGAGUUGAGUGGCGAACGGGUGAGUAACACGUGGGCAACCUGCCCAAAAGAGGGGGAUAACACUUGGAAACAGGUGCUAAUACCGCAUAACCAUAGUUACCGCAUGGUAACUAUGUAAAAGGUGGCUAUGCUACCGCUUUUGGAUGGGCCCGCGGCGCAUUAGCUAGUUGGUGGGGUAAAGGCUUACCAAGGCAAUGAUGCGUAGCCGAACUGAGAGGUUGAUCGGCCACAUUGGGACUGAGACACGGCCCAAACUCCUACGGGAGGCAGCAGUAGGGAAUCUUCCACAAUGGGCGAAAGCCUGAUGGAGCAACGCCGCGUGGGUGAAGAAGGUCUUCGGAUCGUAAAACCCUGUUGUUAGAGAAGAAAGUGCGUGAGAGUAACUGUUCACGUUUCGACGGUAUCUAACCAGAAAGCCACGGCUAACUACGUGCCAGCAGCCGCGGUAAUACGUAGGUGGCAAGCGUUAUCCGGAUUUAUUGGGCGUAAAGGGAACGCAGGCGGUCUUUUAAGUCUGAUGUGAAAGCCUUCGGCUUAACCGGAGUAGUGCAUUGGAAACUGGGAGACUUGAGUGCAGAAGAGGAGAGUGGAACUCCAUGUGUAGCGGUGAAAUGCGUAGAUAUAUGGAAGAACACCAGUGGCGAAAGCGGCUCACUGGUCUGUAACUGACGCUG